CCGGAGUCUCAUCAGGACGUCAACGUCACACUGGGCGUUAAUGCCACGCUUGGCCUCAAUGCCACUCUGGGUGUCAAUUCCACCCUGGACGUCAUCACAGGGAACGUCGUGGUCAACAGCAGUGUCGCAGCACCCUCUGUCAUCAACAGGUCAACCCUGUACGGCUGCAUGCUCUCCACCUGUCUCACCGACAACCUGAGCUCCUCCCUGCAGGUCGGGGAUGAGAAGGCUGGAGAUUCCACCAACGAUGCCUUCGGCUAUGGAAAGAAGUGACAGGAAGCAUCUGCUGAUGAUCAGAACCUGCUCGUGAUGUGUUGACUGCUUGUUUCUUCAUUUAACCUUUACACUAAACCAAAUCAGUAACUGACCAGUUGCAGACUUCCAGCUUUCAUCAUCUGAUCUUCAUCUGUCAUUCAAUAUUAAAAUACAUCAGAUUACCCAUGAGCCUCAGCUGCUGCUGCUGGGAACAAGAUGUUUGUUGGUGAAAUGCAUCUUGGGAAUUUGACCUUCAGCUGGAGAAUCAAUAAACAGCUUUUUUAAAUAUGAGAUCAUCUCUCAUGACAGCAAACACACAACUAUAAGAAAACUACAGGACUACAGAACCACACAACGACUCAACAACACAAUCGCGCAAUUAAAGAACUACAUAUAUACACAAACAUACAAUUACUCAAGUACACAAACAUAUAACCACAACUACAAAAACUGUGCUUAACUACACAACCACACAGCUGAAAUUACACAUUAAACUGAAAUUUAAUGUCUGAACGAAAGACACAAAUCUUCACUAUGAUGUGUCUGAAAUAAUGCAUUUUGUUACAAUAACAACAGACUCUGUGCUCCAGUUACAGUCUGAAGGAUUCUCAUUUCACACAAAGUGGGUCUACAGUCUGUCCUCCAAUACAACAAAUAUGUAAUAUGUUUUUACGCUGAACACACAAAUUUUAUUUACAUCGAAAAAUAUGGGUUUUUUUCGAAAACAUCUGGAGAAAUCAUGGGGGCACAAAGGGACAACACCAACAGGUAAACAAACUGUUCCUGUUAAAUUACUGUGGCCAGUAAACACACUUGAAACAGUGACAGAUGUCUCUCACACCAUGUGUUGUGUUCUGGUUGUG
rnacentral:lncRNA from 1 species